UGCGCCUUAUGCAUGCAAGUCGAGCGAAGCUUUUCAGUAGUUUACUACAGAAAAUGACUGAGCGGCGAACGGGUGAGUAACGCGUGAGCAAUCUACCUUAGUUACAGGGAUAGCCCGAGGAAACUCGGAUUAAUACCUGAUAUUCUUUAUAUUUCGCAUGAAAUUAAAAGGAAAGGUCAGCCGAACUAAGAUGAGCUCGCGUUCUAUCAGCUAGUUGGUGAGGUAAUGGCUCACCAAGGCUUCGAUCAGUAGCUGGUCUGAGAGGAUGAUCAGCCACACUGGGACUGAGACACGGCCCAGACUCCUACGGGAGGCAGCAGUGGGGAAUUUUCCGCAAUGGGCGAAAGCCUGACGGAGCAACGCCGCGUGAGAGACGAAGGCCUCUGGGCUGUAAACCUCUUUUCUCAAGGAAGAAGAUAUGACGGUACUGAGGAAUAAGCCACGGCUAAUUCCGUGCC
rnacentral:rRNA from 1 species